CCUACGGGCCGCACCAGUGGGGAAUAUUGCACAAUGGGCGCAAGCCUGAUGCAGCCAUGCCGCGUGUAUGAAGAAGGCCUUCGGGUUGUAAAGUACUUUCAGCGGGGAGGAAGGUGUUGAGGUUGAUAACCUCAGCAAUUGACGUUACCCGCAGAAGAAGCACCGGCUAACUCCGUGCCAGCAGCCGCGGUAAUACGGAGGGUGCAAGCGUUAAUCGGAAUUACUGGGCGUAAAGCGCACGCAGGCGGUCUGUCAAGUCGGAUGUGAAAUCCCCGGGCUCAACCUGGGAACUGCAUUCGAAACUGGCAGGCUAGAGUCUCGUAGAGGGGGGUAGAAUUCCAGGUGUAGCGGUGAAAUGCGUAGAGAUCUGGAGGAAUACCGGUGGCGAAGGCGGCCCCUUGGACGAAGACUGACGCUCAGGUGCGAAAGCGUGGGGAGCAAACAGGAUUAGAUACCCUCGUAGUC
rnacentral:rRNA from 1 species